rnacentral:rRNA from 1 species
GUGCCAGCAGCAGCGGUAAUACGGAGGAUGCAAGCGUUAUCCGGAUUCAUUGGGUUUAAAGGGUGCGUAGGCGGCUAUUUAAGUCAGUGGUGAAAUCUUGCCGCUUAACGGUAAAAUUGCCAUUGAUACUGAAUAGCUUGAGUACAGUUGAGGUAGGCGGAAUGUGUAGUGUAGCGGUGGAAUGCUUAGAUAUUACACAGAACACCAAUUGCGAAGGCAGCUUACUAAACUGACACUGACGCUGAUGCACGAAAGCGUGGGGAUCGAACAGGAUUAGAUACCCUGGUAGUCCACGCCGUAAACGAUGCUCACUCGCUGUUUGCGAUACACAGCAAGCGGCCAAGCGAAAGCAUUAAGUGAGCCACCUGGGGAGUACGAUCGCAAGGUUGAAACUCAAAGAAAUUGACGG